GGUUUGCACCCCAGACGGGCUAGACAGUGUAGCUACUCAAACGCUAGAGGACACUGUGAGGAGAGGAGCUGCUGCUGAACGAACCAGAAUGGAAGACAAUGCCCUCUGAUGUUCGCUAUACGUGUGAGGCUGGUAAUUGAACCUGGGAGAGAUGACAGCUGGCUCGGGGCCGUAACAAGGUGUGUGCUGUAGAAGGCGGGUGCAGCGUAGCCUUGUGUCCCCAGCAUGAAGGGGGACAGGACGUGGCUGGCGGUGAGGAAAGGCAGCUGGACCAGACUGCCGGCGGGGGGGUGAUGGUGGCUGGCGUAGCCAGC